CACUUCUUAGCAUGUGGACACUUCUUAGCAUGUGAACACUUCUUAGCAUGUGGACACUUCUUAGCAUGUGAACACUUCUUAGCAUGUGGACACUUCUUAGCAUGUGAACACUUCUUAGCAUGUGGACACUUCUUAGCAUGUGAACACUUCUUAGCAUGUGAACACUUCUUAGCAUGUGGACACUUCUUAGCAUGUGAACACUUCUUAGCAUGUGGACACUUCUUAGCAUGUGGACACUUCUUAGCAUGUGGACACUUCUUAGCAUGUGAACACUUCUUAGCAUGUGGACACUUCUUAGCAUGUGGACACUUCUUAGCAUGUGGACACUUCUUAGCAUGUGGACACGUCUUAGCAUGUGGACACUUCUUAGCAUGUGGACAC
rnacentral:lncRNA from 1 species